rnacentral:rRNA from 1 species
CCUACGGGAGGCAGCAGUGAGGAAUAUUGGUCAAUGGACGAGAGUCUGAACCAGCCAAGUAGCGUGAAGGAUGACUGCCCUAUGGGUUGUAAACUUCUUUUAUAUGGGAAUAAAAUGUUCCACGUGUGGGAUUUUGUAUGUACCAUAUGAAUAAGGAUCGGCUAACUCCGUGCCAGCAGCCGCGGUAAUACGGAGGAUCCGAGCGUUAUCCGGAUUUAUUGGGUUUAAAGGGAGCGUAGGUGGAUUGUUAAGUCAGUUGUGAAAGUUUGCGGCUCAACCGUAACAUUGAAGUUGAAACUGGCAGUCUUGAGUACAGUAGAGGUGGGCGGAAUUCGUGGUGUAGCGGUGAAAUGCUUAGAUAUCACGAAGAACUCCGAUUGCGAAGGCAGUUCACUGGACUGUAACUGACACUGAGGCUCGAAAGUGUGGGUAUCAAACAGGAUUAGAUACCCGAGUAGUC